rnacentral:rRNA from 1 species
GCCGUUUACUUGGUGACUCUGAAUAACUCAGCUGAUCGCACGGUCUAGUGCCGGCGACAUAUCUUUCAAGUGUCUACCUUAUCAACUGUCGAUGGUAGUUUAUGUGACUACCAUGGUUGUAACGGGUAACGGAGAAUCAGGGUUUGACUCCGGAGAGGGAGCCUGAGAAACGGCUACCACUUCCAAGGAAGGCAGCAGGCA